rnacentral:lncRNA from 1 species
AUAUGGGUUGAUUGUGUAAAUCAUCUAUGACUAGAUUAGAAACUUCUAUGCAAAAGGAUGUUCAAAGAAUGUACUUUGAGUGAGAGACAUCACGUCUAUGGAAUUGUCUUGUAACAAUCUCCGAUAGAGGACUUUGUAAUAUCAUUGGAAAUAGUCUUUGUGACUUUGGUGCAGUGACAUUACGAAAGGAUAGUUGCAUAGAAUGUUAGAAUCUAGCAUAUUCUAUAAGUAGCAAGAAUUUGAUAUUCUUUGACUUAUGAAAAACGGAUUUGGAGUUGUGAAAUGAGAAGGAUUGGAAAUGUAUUCAAUGAGAUCUAUUUCACAAAGUAAGAACCAUAGGUAAACAUUGUGUGCAUGCUAGGAGCAUGGGACAAGUGUUGGAAUUCAAGUAAGAAGUUGAUUACCCGAAACGACAAAUAAUGAGUAAUCAAUAUGGUGAUAAAUAAAAGGCGUUUUAUUUAUACUCAAAGGUUUGAGGCCAUAUGGGAUUAGUAUUAUUCUUGUGUUUCACAUUUGCAUGUUUUGACUUCCAGAAUAAUUGAGUUUAUUAAGAAUAAUCGAAUUAUUCGAACGGGCCACAGUCGUUCAUAUGUUGGAAGUAGAUAUGAAUGAAGACUGUCGUGAAUUGGUGUGUGGAUUGUCUAAAAGAGUAUUAGACAUAAGCAAAUGUUUGCUGCAACGUUCAUGAGUGCUUAUGAAUAUGAUUUGAGCAUUGGAUUAAACCCACGCUCACUUGGAUCACUCCAUGAAUUGUAUCACGAGUGAUUGGUGAGACGAUAACAUCUUAUAUUCUUGAAACCGAGAUGUGUGAGUUGUAUCUUGCAAAUCGGUUGCACAUUGAUAAUAUGUAAACGCACUAGUAACUUGGUGUUAUAAAACAUAUUGUUGUGUGUGAUUCGGUGCGUGAGUGCAAGCAAGCAUUGUAUCAAAGUUUAUCCGUUCCUUUUAUCCAAAGUAGGAUAAAAGCGAUAUCUUUGGGCCCCUCGAUGGUUUAGUGAUGACAAACGUAAAUGCUCGGCCGGGCUAGGGCUAAUUUGAUUUGUUCAAUUAGUCAGUCGUCAUAAAUCGGAAAUCGAGAUAUAGUACAAAGAGAAUGAUUUGAAAUCAUAUCUCAUAUGAUAUCUAGAAUGGAGGAAUAUAUGAUCCCUUAUCUAAGGACACGCGUAUCUGAUAUGAUCAGAGUUGACAGCGGCUUUGGAAAGCUACGAUUGCAGAUCAGGAUCUGAAGUCAUACGCAGAAUAGUUAUUAGACUUAUCCAAGUGGGAGACUGUUGGAUUAGUGUCUAAGUCCAUAACUAUUUUGGUAUGUACUUGACCCGAUGGUGCAUGGUCCUUUUGGGUUGCCUUCACCAAAGCAACUUGAUAGGAUGAAUUAUGGAGAGAAAGGAUUAAAUAUGAUUUAUUAAUAUAUUAUGAGAAUAAUAUAUUAAAGGAGAAAUCAUAUUGUUUAAUUAAUAUUAGUCAAUAAUUAAUUGGUAAUUAGUUUUGUGACUAAAAGAGAUUAAUUAAACUUAAGGGACUGGAAUUGUAAUUAUAAGAUAAUUGCAAUUUGGGCCAUGGAUUGCCUUAUAUUAUAAGGUGGACGAAUUCUAUGGGGGAAGCCCAUAUGAAAUCGUCCAAGGCCUUAAGGAAAGGGCUCCAUGGGUUGCUUAGGGCUUAAGCAUCCAAAUUAGGGUUUCCUUGUUAGAUAACCCUAAUUGCCUCACUAUAUAUAGAUCCCUUAAGGACCAAAAACGUGGCUAAGCUUCUUGCUAGGGUUUUCACACGGUUUUGGCAGCCUCCAUCCUCUCUCCUCUUCAUCCUCUUGCUUAUGGUGUUUGUGAACCAUUAGAGGAGUGACACUUGUGACUCUAAGCCUUCCAAAGUCAAUUCAAGGAGGAAUUGGGAUUGUUAUUGCUACAUAACAAUCAAGGUAAUAUCAUAAACCUAAUUAUAUGUUAAUAUUGAUUUCCAUAUGCUAGAAUUAGGGUUUAUAGUCUUGGAUUCAAAGCAUGUACAAUAGAGAAACCUAGAUCCAAGCAUUAGGGUUUGUAUGAGCACAUAGGAUGUCUUAUGACCAAAACCCAUCAGUGGUAUCAGAGCCUAGAUUGGUUUCUAUUGUAUUGAUGCUUGAUAUGUUUGAAAAAUUCGAUUUUUUGGUUUCUGGAGGCUGGACUCGCCGAGUCCAUAGCUGAACUCGCCGAGUCCAUGCAGACUCGACGAGUCCAAGCUUGACUCGACGAGUCAACUCGUCAGAUGGAGCAUAUCUCGGGAUUUCUUGCUGUUUUUGCUUUGGGAUAGUUACCUUAUCAUAUUAGAUCAAUAUAAAUCCGAUUUUAUGAUAUAUUUGACUAUAUUCUUGAUCUAAUUGAAGAUAUUUAUCAAUUAAUAAGAUAAUUGUUUCCUUAUGUGAUAAUUGAUUAAUUAUUUUGACUAAAUUGAUAAAUUGUUUUGCAAGAAAUCAUUAAAUAAAUCAAAUAUGGAUAAUUAUGUGAUUAAAUGUUAAUUUAGAUUAUUUGUUAUUUGAUCCUUGUGCUUUGAAAAGUUUCAUAUUUUCCCCUUUAGGUUUUAUAGUUUAAAUUUGAACCCAAAAGUUUUGUUGUUUUGAAAUUUAAAUAGUUAAAACCCUAAUGUUUUGAAAAAGGUUUCAAAACUUGCCCUCAAGUUUUGGAAUUUAAAUUUUGAUUAAAUGGUUUAAUUUUGAUGUAUAUUUAAAUUCUAAACCCUAAUGUGUUGAAAUGUUUCAAAACUUGCCCUCAAGUUUUGGAAUUUAAAAGUUGAUUAAAAGUUUAAUUAGGAAUGUUAAAUUCUAAAACUCUAGUAUAGUUUUGAAAAAGUUCAAAUCACACCCUUAUGGUUUUAUUAAUUAAUUAAGGUGUAUAAUUAAAAGAGGUUUAAUAAAUCCAUAAAAGUUUAGGUUUACAAUUUAAUUGAAUUAAAAGUAUAAUUGUUAAAUUAGACCACCUAGUAUUUUAAAAGUGUAAAAUACACCCUAUACUAUAUAUAACAUUAAAAGUCUAACAUUAUAUAUAUGUAUGAGUAAAAGUCAGUCUUACCGUUAGUAGGCCUCAUUCACGAAGCUGGUCUAUAAGGGGUGUUUAAGGAAAUUGCCUAUAAAAUGGCGAUUGAAUGGGUAUCCACUCUUACCCACCGCACUCUUGACUAGUGGAGGGUCGUUAGCCGAACGGGUAGGAUAGGACGAAACCUUCCAUUAUAAGUAUAAUGAAUUAUUAAAGUAACUAAAUGUUUUCAUAAAAUUCCCAAUCUUAGUUACUUAGGCAAAAGUGAAUUGAUGCAAUUCCAUGAAAUUACACUUUGUGCCCUUGCGAAGACGUUAGUGGAGCGUGUGUGGUUUACCGGCACACUAAAUGGUUCUAAGCAAAGGUAGCAAAGGGUGACUCAAUGUUUGUCAUAGUUCGGUGGAGCGUGUGUGGUUUACCGGCACAUCGAAUAGGUGACUGUAACAUGUGAGGGCACCAUGUAAGUUUGCAUGGUUAUUCACACCCGCUUUGUGAUCCUCGGCAUCCCAGUCACAAACAAGAGGGGCAUAUCGAGAUUUAAACAUGCCAUUGAAAGUUCAAUGAAUCUCAAAGGAUCUAGGAGUUUUCAUAGAUUUAAAACUUAAAUUUCUUUUUCGUUUUUCAUGGUGGAAAUUAGUGAAUCGUCAUUCACUUACCUUCAAAUAUUCUGCAAUUAGGGUUACGGCAUCCCUCUCCCGAGUUGUAGAAUAUUGUGUUGGGUCCUAGCCUUAGUAUCUCAUUUGGGUGAUUUACUAAGGACUCAAUCAAUCAACUAACUUGAAUUCGUUUUCUCCCGUUUUGUAGAUGUCAAAGUUCGACAACUAUGGUCUUCCCAAAUCCCGUGGAACAAGCAUUCCACAUGAAGAUGAUAUUCCACGAUUCGAUCGAGGAACAAGAAAUCAUGCUUCACUUCCUCCUCCUCCUCCAAUUAUUCUCCCUAACCCACAAGUUCAAAGGCUUGAAAAGUUCAAGAUCACUCAAGCCCUUUUGGCAAGUAAACAUAAAGAAGGAAAGUCGGUGUGUGCACACGUCCUAGGGAUGAAGUCACACAUUGAUAGGUUAAGAAUGUUGGGAUCCGUUGUCUGUGAGGAAAUGGCUGUUGAUUGGGUUCUUCAGUCACUUCCUAACUCAUAUAGUGAGUUCGUAAGAGAGUACUAUAUGAUGAACCGCGACGUGACCCUUAUAGAUCUCACCUAUAUGCUUAUUGCUGCUGAAUCAGCAAUGGUUUGGCGCAAUAGAAAAGCAAAGUUGAUUGGUGAAUCUGCCUUCAAGACCUCUAUGGAUAUAGACAAUGGCAACGAAAGACAUGCUAUGAUCGAAAAGUUUGAUCAUAAGAGAAAGGCAAUGUCUGAAGUAGUUCCAUGUCAUGUUCCAAAAGAGUCAAUUUGCUUUUAUUGCCAAGAGAAAGGGCAUUGGAGACGAAGCUGCCCCAUUUACCUAAGAGAUCUAAGAGAUGGGAGAGUCGAAACGUAUGGCUCUAAUAUAGGUAAAAUCCAUUAACUAACUCUUUUAAGCUUCUAUUCUAGAUUCUUAAUACAUAAUGUGAUAAGAUUACAAUUGAUGUUUUGUAGGAUCGAAGAAAAGAAAGGAAGCUUAAGGGAAGAAGUGAGCAGAAUCUAACCGUGAAGGAAUGGAUUUCGAUCGCAUUUCUCGAAGAUUAGAUUCUUGAGCUACUACUUAGAGUUAGAAUUAGAUUGCUAAGAAAGAUGUAUUAGCAUAGUUUUUCAAUGAAUUGCAUUGUAAGGACAAAUUUUUUCCGCAAUAAAAUAAAUUUUGAUUUUAUAUUAUUUAUUUAUCCUUGCAAUGGCGUAUAUGAAAAAUUGAUGUUUGAAUGUUUCUAUUAUUAGCAAUAAUGGAUUUGGUUCUUAUUAUGUUAUUUAUGGAAAGUCGAGAGUUUACCAAAUAGGGAGAGUUUCUCAUCGCCCAAGUUUCAAUUGGACAGAAACUUGGAAUCAUGCAACUUGGUUGCACGAUGAAUGAGAAAUUUCAUAUUUGGAAAUUAGACUAAUUCAUUGACAAAGUGUCAAGUGAAGGACUAGGAGAUCGAGUACACAAAGUUGCGUGUUGAUCAAGUCCACCAUAAGAGUAACAAAGAUAUUCGUCAUGAUUUACUAAAGGUUUAGUAAAUAUGAUUAUACUUAUAAGAUUAAGUGUAAUUCUGAAUUGAUUGAAAAAGUUUAAAUCAAUAGCAGAACGAAUAAGAAGAAUCAAGUAGGCAGAAAGAUAAAAGUUUCUCCAUUCUAAGAAGAAGGGAGAGUACCUUUUAUGCUUUAUGAUAGGUCUUAAUGAUUAAGAACCAUAUCUCAAUUGAUCCUCUAAGUGAGUCUUAGUACAAUUGUAUGUCUAAGAAGAGGAAUCAAGAAUUGAAGAAAUGGUUAAAUCAAGAAGUCAAUCAUACUUCGUUCCAAAACAAGUCUUAGAGUUAAGAUUGUGACAUUGAGUGAAAAGUAUUAAGAAGGUUUAUAACAUUCAUCAAAUGUGGAAAGUUGUGAUGUCUUGGAUAAGACAAAGACCAACUAGGACCAAUUUAUGAAGUGUUUUGAUAAAAACUACACUAACUCUUGAAUAUUUGUUUGUCAAGAAAUGUUUAUUGACAAGAGAAUCUUAUAUGUCAAGGAGUCAGUGGGAGUCUUAAUGGUCUUGAAAGGUUUCAAGAACAAAUCAAAUAAACCUUAUCGAUCAUCACUAGCACACGAGUUGAGGUUUACAACCUAUCGUGUUGACAUUAUUUUGUUUCUGUGCCAAUCCAAUCGAGUUAAUUAUGCAUGUGAGUUCUAUGAGUUCUCAUUUGAAUGCAUAAAAGGCAAGGACCUUGAUCAAUGGAAAGUACAUUGAUAAGAAAAGGUGAGCUGCUUAACUACUUGGAAGACAUGGUGGGCAGCUGUGCUACCAUAAGGCAAGAAAUCAAGAUUAAGAAAGUUCGGUCCAUAUGAGUUUGAAUUUGUCGUAAACUUUGGUUUUAACAAAUUCACAUGGAUAGGAACACAUACACCGUUUAAAUCUAAGUGUCAUAAGAUUUCCUCCUUCAUGAAAAUGAUUGUGAGGAAAUGCUUUCACUAAGAAAGAUUUUAAGAAGAUAGUGAUUGUAAAAUUGCAUUCUCGAAUUCGAUUAUGGUUACGGUAUCCCUUUCCAUGAUUUGAAUUGUGAGGUUUGGCAAUUGUUUACACACACAUAUGAACUAUCUAAGGCAAAGGUGUAUAAGUUCAAGAAGCCUUGAUAAAAGAUUAUCAAAGCACUAAGUAUUAGAAACAUGAACUUAAGAAAUUCAAUAAGCAUUGUUUUUCUGAAAGUUAAGAUGUUUAUGAAUACAUGUCGAAGCUAGUGGGAGCAUAAGUGUUAUGUUUUAUAAUAAUCAUCAUGAUAGUGGGAGCAUAAAUGUUAUGAUUGUAUGAUUAUUAAGGCACGUAUUGCAAGUUGGCAAUAUUAAUUAUAGAAAACAAGAGUUAUACCUUGCAAAGUCGUAAGGGUUGUAAAGUUGUUUUGCUAUAAUUAAGGGAGAGAAUAUUAUGCUUCAUUUCAAAUCUAAAGGCUUAGGUUGAGAAAUGUUAAUAAAUUUAGUCAAGGGUACAUAGUGUGUUCUUAAAAUUUCGAUUAUGAUUACGACAUUCCUCUUCACAAUUCGAAUUUUGAGAACAUAGCAAAUAAAACAUUAUGCGUCGUGUCCCAUACGCUUCGGGUAUAGGAUCGAUUGCAAAUGCUUUAAUGUUUGACCAUUCUAAAAUUUUCCAAAUGUCGAGCGCAUUUAGAGGGAAAAGGGACUAGAAUUGGUUUUGACUAAAAUAAUUAAACAACUAUCAAAGGACAAUCCAAAGUUCGACGAGGAUUGGUCGCUUGUGAGUAGUUGGAAGCAUGGUAUUGGAUGGACCAUAUCGACAUUAUUAUGAAUAGAAAAGAUUCUAUUAAGAAUGAGUUGUCAUAUGGAAAUUAUGGAAAUGUUUCCAUAUUGGAUGGACCAUAUCGACAUCAUUACGAAUAGAUAAGAUUCUAUUAAGAAUGAGUUGUCAUAUGGAAAAUAUGGAAGCGUGUCCAUAUUGGGAAUUGAAUAUUGAAAAUCUAUGUCUAGAUUAGAAACUUUUAUGCAAAAGGAUGUUCAAAGGAAUGUACUUUGAGUGAGAGACAUCAUAUCUAAGGAAUUGUCUUGUAACAAUCUCCGAUAGAGGACUUUGUAAUAUCAUUGGCAAUAGUCUUUGUGACUUUGGUGCAGUGACAUUACGAAAGGAUAGUUGCAUAGAAUGUUAGAAUCUAGCAUAUUCUAUAAGUAACAAGAAUUUGAUAUUCUUUAACUUAUGAAAAACGGAUUUGGAGUUGUGAAAUGAGAAGGAUUGGAAAUGUGUUCAAUGUGAUCUAUUUCACAAAGUAAGAACCAUAGGUAAACAUUGUGUGCAUGCUAGGAGCAUGGGACAAGUGUUGUAAUUCAAGUAAGAAGUUGAUUACCCGAAACGACAAAUAAUGAGUAAUCAAUAUGGUGAUAAAUAAAAGGUGUUUUAUUUAUACUCAAAGGUUUGAGGCCAUAUGGGAUUAGUAUUAUUCUUGUGUUUCACAUUUGCAUGUUUUGACUUCCAGAAUAAUUGAGUUUAUUAAGAAUAAUCG